AGGGCCGAGUGGGGACCGCAGGGCCGAGAGGGGAGGUUUGAGCGACACUGAGCUCGGGGCUUGCCGGCGCAGCAGCGGAGCCGGGGGGGUGGCAAGGGGAAGGCGACACUCGCUUUGCGUUGCCUUCGUGCAGAGCCACUGGGAAGGUUUUGCAGUAGCCACCGCCACUGGAGCGGCGGGAGGAGGGUUUGAGGUGGCCUCUGAGUAGUCCGGAGAAGGUGGGCAUUUCUUGUUUUUUCCCAGCCCUCUCCUGGUCUCCCUCCUCCGCUUGUCUCCCCCCUCCCUACAACCCCACACCCCACGUGAAGCGGAAUAUAGCGGGGGGGGGGGGCUAAUAUUUAGAGGGGAAAGUGAAUGGUGUAGGACUGAAGGGGUCCUCCCCCUUCAGGUCCUCGGCAGCCCUGUUCACCAUCGUUCAUCCUCCCUUCCUGAAGCUCGCCUUCGAAGGCAGGAGCAGCGGGUGCCUUCCGCUGAAGAGGAGGAGGAGAGAAGGAGGGAUCGCGCCGGGCGAAGCGUCAGGUCUGGUUUUCCUCCCUGCGUCUUGAGUACAAAGAUUACCGUGCAGAAGGAAAUUGGCAUUCGCCUUCUCCGUCCCAGUACCCAACACAAUGCACCAGCCGCCUGAGUCUGCCGCGGCCGCUGCAGACAUUAGUGCUAGGAAGAUGGCGCACCCGGCGAUGUUCCCAAGAAGGGGCAGCGGCAGUGGCAGCGCCUCUGCUCUCAUUGCAGCAGGUACCGGCGUUGUUAGUAAUGUCCCAUCUUCCGAGGAUCUUCCGCCUCUGUCGCUGCUUCAGCCGCCACCUCCUGCAGCAUCUUGUACGUCGGGACCACAGCCUCCGCCUCCACAAAGCCUGAACCUCCUUUCGCAGGCUCAGCUGCAGACACAGCCUCUCGCACCAGGCGGAACUCAAAUGAAAAAGAAAAGUGGCUUUCAGAUAACUAGUGUUACCCCGGCCCAGAUCUCCGCCAGCAUCAGCUCUAACAACAGUAUAGCAGAGGACACUGAGAGCUAUGAUGAUCUGGAUGAGUCUCACACAGAAGAUCUUUCGUCUUCCGAGAUCCUUGAUGUAUCACUUUCCAGGGCUACUGACUUAGGGGAACCUGAACGCAGUUCCUCAGAAGAGACGCUUAAUAACUUCCAGGAAGCUGAGACACCUGGGGCAGUCUCUCCCAACCAGCCUCACCUUCCACAGCCUCAUUUGCCUCACCUUCCACAACAGAAUGUUGUGAUUAAUGGGAAUGCUCAUCCACACCAUCUUCAUCACCACCAUCACAUUCAUCAUGGGCACCACCUCCACCAUGGGCACCACCACCCAUCCCACGCUGGUGUGGCCAGUACAUCCAUUCCUGGAGGGCCACCCUCAAGCCCAAUAUCCAGAAAACUCUCCACAACUGGAAGCUCUGACAGUGUUAUACCAGCUGCACCAACUUCUGCUGCAUCAUCGGGUGGCUCACCUGCAUCUGUAAUGACUAAUAUCCGUGCUCCCAGUACUACCAGCAGUAUAGGAGUAAAUUCUGUUACUGGCACUAAUACGAUGAAUAAUGUUACCAUUACUGCUGUGGGUAGUUUUAAUCCUAAUGUGACAAGCAACGUGCUUGGUAAUGCUAAUAUAACCCCAAGCAAUAUUUCUAGUGCUCCUAGUGUGAGUGUUGGGCCUGGAGUUAAUAGCAGUGUUAAUGUGAAUAUCUUGAGUGGCAUGGGCAAUGGUACUCUUUCUUCUGCUGUUGUUAACAGUGUACCUAAUGCAGCUGCAGGGAUGGCUGUGGGAUCAGUUUCAAGUCAGCAACAACAGCCAACAAUUAACACUUCAAGGUUCAGAGUUGUGAAGUUAGAUUCUAGUUCUGAACCUUUUAAAAAAGGUAGGUGGACUUGCACUGAGUUCUAUGAAAAAGAGAAUGCUGUACCUGCUGCAGAAAGUGUGAUAAAUAAAGUGGUGGAAACUGUAAAACUAAACCCAAUAGAAGUGACUUCUGAGAGGGAGAGCACUAGUGGGAGUUCAGUGAGCAGUAGUGUCAGCACACUGAGUCACUACACAGAGAGUGUGGGAAGUGGAGAGAUGGGAGCCCCUACUGUGGUGGUGCAGCAACAGCAGCAGCAACAACCAGCUCUUCAAGGUUUGGCCCUUCAGCAGAUGGAUUUCAGUAGCACUGGUCCUCAGAGUAUUUCAGCAGUUAGUAUACCACAGAGUGUUUCUCAGUCACAGAUCUCACAAGUACAAUUACAGUCUCAAGAACUGAGCUAUCAGCAAAAGCAAGGUGUUCAACCAGUUCCUCUGCAAGCCGCUAUCAAUGCUGUGACUGGUAUUCAGCCAUCACCUGUUAAUGUGGUUGGAAUAACUUCAACUUUAGGUCAGCAGCCUUCCAUUUCUAGUUUGGCUCAGCCCCAACUGCCAUAUUCUCAGACGGCUCCUCCUGUACAAGCUCCCCUUCCAGGGGCAACAUCCCAACAGUUACAAUAUGGACAACAAUCAACUGUUCCCACACAGAUGGCUCCAGGUCACAGUAAACCACCAACUCAAAUUUCUACUUCUGAGUUUGUACAGCAGCAGCCAAGCCUUCAAAAAGCAGUGUCCGCUGGUCAGCCCAGUUCUGCAGCAGUGGGAGCAGGAACAACAGUGAUUCCUAUGGCUCAGCCACAGAGUAUCCAGCUGCCAGUGCAGUCUGUGGCAGUCCAAGCACAACCUGUAGGGGCAUCUGGCCAGCCUGUUGGCCAGGCUCAAACAGCAGUAUCUGCUGUACCUGCUGGCAGUCAAAUUGCAAAUAUUGGUCAACAAGCAAAUGUACCCACUGCAGUGCAGCAGCCCUCUUCCCAAGUCACACCUGCAGUUAUUCAGCAAGGUGCUCCUCCAUCUUCACAAAUAGUUCCACCUGCUCAGACUGCAAUUCUUCAUCAGGGAGUUCAAACUAGUGUUUCAAGCCUUCCUCAACAACUGGUCAUUGCACCCCAAAGUACCUUGUUAACUGUGCCUCCCCAGCCACAAGGAGUAGAAUCAGUAGCUCAAGGAGUUGUUUCACAGCAGUUGCCUGCAGUUAGUCCUGUACCCUCUGCUAGUAGUAUUUCUGUUACAAAUCAGGUUAGUUCAGCUGGUCCUUCUGGAUUGUCUUCUGCCCCAACAAACGUGGUUCCACCACAGAAUAUAGCACAACCCCCUGCCACUCAAAAUGGUAACAUGAUUCAAAGUGUUAGUCAACCUCCCUCCAUAGCAGCUAAUGUAAAUUUGCCUUUGGCACAACAGAUAUCACUAAAUUCUCAGUUCUCUGCACAGUCAUUAGCUCAGGCAAUUGGAAGCCAAAUUGAAGAUGCCAGGCGCCCUGCGGAACCCUCCUUAGUUGGCUUACCUCAGACUAUCUGUGGUGACAGUGGGGGAAUGUCAGCAGUUUCAGAUGGGAGUAGCAGCAGCCUAGCAGCCUCUGCUUCUCUUUUCCCGUUGAAGGUGCUACCGCUGGUGGAUGGCGAGGAUGAGAGCUCUCUAUUUCAGUGCUUCUCUCCUACCAGAGGUGCAAGGAGUGAUCCUAGAACCACAGAUACAGCCAAGACCACGGAGAGCUUUUGACGUCAGGGGUCCAUUUUCUCCACUGAACCCUUGGAGGCAGAAUAUCCAGCUUCUGGAGAGAGUGGGAAAGGAUAAUAAACAAAUUUCUUUCAACUGGUAAACAUCAUACUUCUUCAGCAAAAGGAACUCUUCUAGCAGAGCCUUCAUGGAUGAUAUCUGUCACACAUGCAGCACCUGCAAUUUGGAAGGCAGUGGUGAACGGAACCAUGCAAUAUAUCUAGAAGACACAAGGAUGAGAGAGCCACCUGAUUUUGUCAUUUAUAAACUUUAAGAUUUAUUUUGGUGUACUCUUGGUCUGGAAAUGGAAAGGCUCAAAUAAUGAAAUAAUUUUUUCAGAUUGGAAUUUUACAUGGCCGUGAAAAUAUUCCUUUUCUAUUCAGAAGACUGAAAUAGAGGAAGCAUGAGAGACUCCUUUCUUUUAAAAGCAGCUCUCUGUAUCUGUUUUACUUAAAAGAUUUGUGGGAUUGAAAUCACCUUAAUCAAGCAGGAAAACUUUUUUAGUAUAGGAGAUCCAAAAAGUUACUGAAACUGUUUUUUGUUAUCUGAUAAUGAAAGGAAUUAGAAAUAAAGGAUGAACUUCUUAAUUACUUCCAAAUUACUUUUAAAAUUAGGGCAACACUCUUAGCUUAUCUUUUUCUGAUCUUGAGCCUUGUUCUCAUUUGUCAAUAAACAGUGAUUCCAAUAUAGAAAUAGAAGAGACAUCUUUUGAGAUGAAAGUAGCGUACUCCUUCUAAAGUAGUAAAUACCUGUGAAACUUGAGGUAUUGUCUUUCAUUGAUAGCACAGUAAAAUUUGAAUGAUACUGAAACAAAGUCAGUUAGUAGCAUAUGUCAGUGUUGCAAGGUAAUCAUCCAAACUAUCAAUUGUGGGUAAUAGUUAUCAAAAUUUUUCUAUUUCUCUUUCUGGUAUCUAUUAACUGGUCAAAGCUAUUAAAGAAAUUUUUAAAAGUUAUCCAGUGUUGCCAGUUUGUUUUAUUUGGUACAAAUUUUAAGAGAAAUAGAAUUAUUAACAUAGAAGCAUAUAACAUAUUUUAGGAAUCUAGAAACAUUUGUUAAAUUAUACCCUGGCCUUUACUUUUUCUUGGCUAUCUAUUAGAGCUUUUUUCCUCAUUAAUUAUAAAUACAUUUUUGUAAAGUACUGAAAAGUAAGCUUAAAAGAUCAAUUUAAACUAAAAUUUCUUUAGAGAGCUCUGAAUUUUCAUGAAUGAUUACAGCUUUUAAUGCUUGGUUUGUUUUUGUUAACUGUUAGUAAGACAGUUUUUACAAACACAUAAAUUUAAUACUCAACAUCUUAGAAAGAACUCAGGGGAAUUGAAAGUGAAAUUUCUUGGAAAUUAAGUUAAACUCUUUGAACCAGUUUAUGGCCUAUGAGAUUAUAGCCUUUUGUUUCAGUUUUGAAAGAUGAAAAGUGAUUUAGUCUCUUAAUCAUAUGCUUUGAUUAAAUUUAGCUCUGUUCCUUAAAGUGUGCAAAAAAAAUGUAAGUGCAUUUCUAUUCCCCUCUUUCCACUAAAAGCUAUUUAAAAGUGAAACAUUUUGUGUAUUAAUGUGAACUGAUUUGUUUAUAUAAACUUUUAUUUUAAUAUAUUUUUCUUUCAGAUUUUUAAAUAUUUUAUGUCAUAAUAUGCAAUUCUAUAUUUUUCAGUGUUUAUUUUAUGA